GGCUCAGGAUGAACGCUAGCGGCAGGCCUAACACAUGCAAGUCGAGGGGUAGGCUCUCUUCGGAGAGUACACGACCGGCGAACGGGUGCGUAACGCGUAUGCAACCUGCCUGUAUCUGGAACAUAGCCCCGAGAAAUCGGGAUUAAUUUUCCAUAAUAUCCUUUAGUGACAUCACUUUUGGAUUAAAGCUCCGGCGGAUACAGAUGGGCAUGCGUGACAUUAGCUCGUUGGUGCGGUAACGGCGCACCAAGGCCAAGAUGUCUAGGGGGUCUGAGAGGAUGAUCCCCCACACUGGUACUGAGACACGGACCAGACUCCUACGGGAGGCAGCAGUGAGGAAUAUUGCGCAAUGGAGGAAACUCUGACGCAGCCAUGCCGCGUGAAGGAUGACGGCCCUAUGGGUUGUAAACUUCUUUUCUGCUUCAAGAAACAGUCGUACGUGUACGGCUUUGACGGUAGAGCAGGAAUAAGCAUCGGCUAACUCCGUGCCAGCAGCCGCGGUAAUACGGAGGAUGCAAGCGUUAUCCGGAUUCAUUGGGUAUAAAGCGUGCGCAGGCGGGUGGGUAAGUCAGAGGUGAAAGCCCGCAGCUUAACUGUGGAAUUGCCUUUGAUACUGCUCACCUUGAGUCCAGCUGAGGUAGGCGGAAUGUAGUAUGUAGCGGUGAAAUGCUUAGAUAUACUACAGAACACCGAUUGCGAAGGCAGCUUACCAAACUGGCACUGACGCUCAGGCACGAAAGCGUGGGGAGCGAACAGGAUUAGAUACCCUGGUAGUCCACGCCGUAAACGUUGAUCACUCGUUGUUGGCAAUACACCGUCAGCGAACUAGCUAAUGCGCUAAGUGAUCCACCUGGGGAGUACGAUCGCAAGGUUGACACUCAAACGGAAUUGACGGGGUGCCCGCACAAGCGGAGGAGCAUGUGGUUUAAUUCGAUGAUCCGCGAGGAAACUUACCUGGGCUUAAAUGUAGU
rnacentral:rRNA from 1 species